rnacentral:rRNA from 1 species
GUGUGUUUUGCUUAUCGAUCUUAUCAUCAUAAUUUUAUUAAAGUGUCGGAUUGUUCACCCGCUAAUAGGGAACGUGAGCUGGGUUUAGACCGUCGUGAGACAGGUU